GACGAACGCUGGCGGCGUGCCUAAUACAUGCAAGUCGAACGCAUUUUCUUUCACCGUAGCUUGCUACACCGAAAGAAAAUGAGUGGCGAACGGGUGAGUAACACGUGGGUAACCUGCCCAUCAGCGGGGGAUAACACUUGGAAACAGGUGCUAAUACCGCAUAAUUCCAUUUACCGCAUGGUAGAUGGGUGAAAGGCGCUUUUGCGUCACUGAUGGAUGGACCCGCGGUGCAUUAGCUAGUUGGUGGGGUAACGGCCUACCAAGGCUGCGAUGCAUAGCCGACCUGAGAGGGUGAUCGGCCACACUGGGACUGAGACACGGCCCAGACUCCUACGGGAGGCAGCAGUAGGGAAUCUUCGGCAAUGGACGCAAGUCUGACCGAGCAACGCCGCGUGAGUGAAGAAGGUUUUCGCAUCGUAAAACUCUGUUGUUAGAGAAGAACAAGGAUGAGAGUGGAAAGUUCAUCCCUUGACGGUAUCUAACCAGAAAGCCACGGCUAACUACGUG
rnacentral:rRNA from 1 species